rnacentral:rRNA from 1 species
AGAGUUUGAUCCUGGCUCAGGAUGAACGCCGGCGGUGUGCCUAAUACAUGCAAGUCGUACGCACUGGCCCAACUGAUUGAUGGUGCUUGCACCUGAUUGACGAUGGAUCACCAGUGAGUGGCGGACGGGUGAGUAACACGUAGGUAACCUGCCUCGGAGCGGGGGAUAACAUUUGGAAACAGAUGCUAAUACCGCAUAACAACAAAAGCCACAUGGCUUUUGUUUGAAAGAUGGCUUUGGCUAUCACUCUGGGAUGGACCUGCGGUGCAUUAGCUAGUUGGUAAGGUAACGGCUUACCAAGGCAAUGAUGCAUAGCCGAGUUGAGAGACUGAUCGGCCACAAUGGAACUGAGACACGGUCCAUACUCCUACGGGAGGCAGCAGUAGGGAAUCUUCCACAAUGGGCGCAAGCCUGAUGGAGCAACACCGCGUGAGUGAAGAAGGGUUUCGGCUCGUAAAGCUCUGUUGUUGGAGAAGAACGUGCGUGAGAGUAACUGUUCACGCAGUGACGGUAUCCAACCAGAAAGUCACGGCUAACUACGUGCCAGCAGCCGCGGUAAUACGUAGGUGGCAAGCGUUAUCCGGAUUUAUUGGGCGUAAAGCGAGCGCAGGCGGUUGCUUAGGUCUGAUGUGAAAGCCUUCGGCUUAACCGAAGAAGUGCAUCGGAAACCGGGCGACUUGAGUGCAGAAGAGGACAGUGGAACUCCAUGUGUAGCGGUGGAAUGCGUAGAUAUAUGGAAGAACACCAGUGGCGAAGGCGGCUGUCUGGUCUGCAACUGACGCUGAGGCUCGAAAGCAUGGGUAGCGAACAGGAUUAGAUACCCUGGUAGUCCAUGCCGUAAACGAUGAGU